AGCACAUGUCUGGUUUUUGUUUUUUGUUGUGGACAAAAACUUGGAGUAAGUGCUAAGAAUAAACCCUUCUCUUGCAACCCACAGCUCAUCAAUAUGUGAGCUGUGCUACUUCUGAGAAGGGACAAU
ensembl:snoRNA small nucleolar RNA SNORA40